rnacentral:rRNA from 1 species
GAUGAACGCUGGCGGCGUGCCUAAUACAUGCAAGUCGAGCGAACAAACGAGGCUCUUGCCUCUCUUACGCUACCGGCGGACGGGUGAGUAACACGUGGCUAACCUACCUAGAGGGCUGGGAUACCUUCGGGAGCCCUGAUCUCAUAUCGGACAAGAUGUUGAACCUCAUGGUUCUUUAGUCAAAACGCUAUUUGCUGUCCCUUAGUCGUGGUACCUCGCCGCAUUAGCUAGUUGGUAAGGUAACGGCUUACCAAGGCGACGAUGCGUAGCCGAUCUGAGAGGGUGAUCGGCCACACUGGAACUGAGACACGGUCCAGACUCCUACGGGAGGCAGCAGUAGGGAAUAUUGCGCAAUGGGCGAAAGCCUGACGGAGCAACGCCGCGUGAGUGAAGAAGGUCUUCGGAUCGUAAAGCUCUGUUAUUAGGGAGGAACGACUGUGUAAGAAUAUCUGCCCGUCUUGACGGUACCAACACAGAAAGCCACGGCUAACUUCGUG